CCGCUAGUAACAUAAUAUUCAUUUUUCUCCACAGCCGCACGAAGUUGCAGAAAUGCGUAGCUUUGAGAUUCUUAUUUUCAGUACAACAGCCAAGAGCCAGAGCCAGGACUCUGACUACGUGGAGCAACAAAACCACACUCUGAGGAGAUCUGGAGAAGAAAAAGUGUAGAAAAGAAGAAGCAUUGCGGGACAGAAAAAUAAGUAAGGUAAGGCCUAUUGUGCAAGCAUCCUGUGUAGCUCUGUGCGGAAUAUCGAACCCAUGUGCACAUGAGAUACCUUCGGUGAAAAAAAAUAGUAAGUAACGUGGUAAUUAAAUAUUUGUGUAUUUAUAUGUUUAUUUUUGGAGAGGAUAAUUAUUCGUGUGUGUAUCAGUGUUGAAGAUUCGUCAGUGGCUUAAAGUGAAUUUAUUAUGGGUAAGACAGGACAAGCUAAAGCAUCCGUACCAGACGAACAAAAUUUUGUUAAGAUGGAAAGUGAGGGUCAUUUGCAAUACGUAAACGAAUCCCAUGCCACCGCCUCGGAUAACAUAAUUUCCGGAGCGGGGGGCGAGGAUCUGUGGAAGGUGAAUGACGCUCCACAACAGAAUGGGAAUAGAAUAACAACUACUCCACUGCCUGGGCAGGGCGGCCAAUCGUGUGCUACAUUAAGUUGGGCACCAGUAUGCUCAUCAAUUGCAGACCCAUUUGCUGAAUUUCUGCGUAGACUGGAAGAAAGAGAUAGGGAAAGAGACGAAAAACUGGCUCAGAUGCUACAUGAGCAGGAGAAAAAAUUAACGCAAAUGCUACAUGACCAAGGGAAAUAAUUUACGCAAAAGCUCAGUGAGCAAGAGCAGCGCAGUGAAGUGAAGCUAGACAGUAUCCAAAGCGAACUAGCCGAGAUGCGGGACGCGUGCAAAGAAAUAACCGAUCUUGUGCAAAGCUUAGCCGGCGAGAUGCUAAAACUACAGGUAUCGCAGGCUAGGCUUGAAGACAAUGUCCGAACUUUAACCAACCGCGUGGAUAAUGUGGAGAUAGAUGCACGGAAAAGUAUUGAUACAUAUUUGAAAGUGCAAGCUCAAAAAGUCGACAAAGAAUUAAAUGAAUGGCUAGAAGUAAAGGAUCGCGAGAUAUCUGCAAAGAUUGAAAGCGAUGUAAAAACAGCUGUAGAACAAGCGACUGCGGCCGCGAGUGUAAAUAUUGACGCUAGCGCUGCCGCACUACAUGCCGAAUUAACACAGAUCAAAUCCCGUGUGACUGCGGAGUUGCCAAAUUGGCAACAGGAGGUCGCGCGGAGAGUGCGUUGGAAAGCAAUGUAAGCAGUGGCGGACAGAUGAAUCCGACUCCGUUUACUGACGACUAUAAUAACGCAGACUGUAUGCAGGGUGCGAGUGCCAAGCGCAACCUAACGUGAAUUACGGGCACGAACAACAUGCGAUACCGUGCAGCGCACAUCACGAAGUAAUGAAUGUCCCAGAAUGUAGCAAUCAGAUGCGCAAAAAAGAGGACAUUCCAACCCUUCAAUAGCGAAAAACGAAAUGUCCACCCUGCGGUAUUUAUUAAGAGCUUCAGGAAUGUGUUUCCCAGGACAUGGACGGAAAGACAAAGAAUACAGUUCGCCGUCUCCUUUAUUCAAGGUGACGCGGCGCUGUGGGUCACCGACGUGUCCGAAAAAUGUCUAACCAUGCAACAAUUUGAAGGUGCAGUCUUGCAAAAAUUCUGGUCCUAUAGCGUCCAAGAAAGACUACGCAAGGCGUUGUACAGUCCAGAAAUGUACAGUCCUAAGAUAGGAACGUUACGCAAAUAUUUCGAAAAGUAUAUAAACAAAGCAGGUACUGGGACGAGCCAAUGUCCGAUAGUGACAUAAUCAGAUUAAUGAAAAUUGAAGUUGCCCAGUGAAAUUAGAAGUUAUUUCAUCAAUGUGCCGGAAUACGAUAUAGAACAAUUCAUGGAAAUAGUGGAUUCUGUUCACUUAUUAAUCGAAGAUAUGAAAACCGAAAACAAGUGGAACCAUGCAGGCUGUAAUCAACAAAAAGCCGAUUACAAAAAAAAAAAAAAGGUUCAAAUGGCUCUGAGCACUAUGGGACUUAACAUCUAUGGUCAUCAGUCCCCUAGAACUUAGAACUACUUAAACCUAACUAACCUAAGGACAUCACACACAUCCAUGCCCGAGGCAGGAUUCGAACCUGCGACCGUAGCAGAGCCGAUUACAAUAGCAGCCACGGUAACGGUAGUAACUUAGUACCAAAUGGUAACGGGAAUAGCCAAGAGCACCGGCAACAGAAUCGAGGAACAAACCAUGGCAAUGGUUAUAACGGCAACGGUUAUAAUCAUCAAAAUCGAAAGAGACAUCAUGAUGGACGCAUGAGUAAUGGAUAUAAUGGUAGCGGCAAUCCGCAAUGGCGGAUCAACCGAAACCAGUGGCGUGGUUGUAAUGAACCGACACCACAGUGGCAACAAAACACAGCGCCACAAUGGAACGCCAACCUAGGUCCGUCACAGGACAUGUCAGGAAGUUACAACCGACCACCGCAAAACCAGAGCCAUUCACAGUAUCAAAAUACGCCAUCGGGGAGGCAUGGCGGCCAACCCAACAGUAGCAACAACAACAACCAGAACCACGAUGUGAGGUUAGUGGAAGUGACAGACAACUGUCAACCCACUAAUGCUCAUUCGCUAAACUGAAGACAACCACAAUACGCUCUCCGUUGUUGGCUGCAGGAUGGUGUAGUGGGGGCACAUUCACGGGUGACAGCCAUAAACUUUGUUUCCUGAGAUACAAUGAGGGAAUAAAAAUAGACAAGGAACUUGUAGACAAACCGCAGAAAUGUAACCGAACCGACAAAAGUGUUGUGCAGGCUGUAUUGCAAGCAGACACGUACGGAGCACCAAUACAGAUAAUGGUCGAUACCGGUGCGUCAACCAGUGUCAUGAGUGCAACUUUUUACAAGUACUUGAGUCAACAUAAUAGAAUACCAGUAUUGCCAGUGAAGAAUUUUCGUGUAACAGGUGCAAUAGGUGCACAAUCUCAUAUCAUAAAGCACCAGGUGCAAGUUGAGUUUACGGUAGGAAAUGAAGCAGUGAAAAGCUCGUUCCUAGCAGUUAAGGGAUUAGGUGUUGCUUGCAUCCUGGGGAUGGAAUUUUUACGCCAGAGGGACGCAAAAAUCGACCUCUUGUGCGGGGAAGUAAGCCUUAUGAAUGAGGGUAGACGUGUAAUUUUGCCAUUCUUGAGGUUACGGGAAGUGCACGGUAAAUAUUGCCGGAACUUUCAGUCUAGAUUCGAAGGAAUACAGGUAAUGAAUUUAUAUUCUGACUUAAGUACAAGACAAGCAUAUUAUAAAGAAUUUAUUACUGAAGACAAAGAGGAAAAAAGGAAACUGACAACCAUGAAAGUCAGGGAGUCAGAACAUUUGACUGAAGCACAACAAAACGAACUGACUCAGCUACUUACAGAUUAUGAGAAUGUGCUUUCGGAAAAACCCGGUGUUAACGAGGACUACACCUAUAACAUCGAAGUGGUAUCUCACGAUACUUUCUGUCACGCAAUCUACACCAUCCCGUGGUCAAAUAAGGAGGCAAUUACGAAGGAAACAAUUUCCUUACAAAGACUUAAAGACGUUCGCUCAGUAGAGCAACUUUUACAUAUGUGAAUAAUAGGUUAAGUUUAGAGUGUAUUUUUUUCUGUGUGUAAAUGUUCAGAUUUUAGUAUUAUAUUUAAAGACAAUGAGGCCCACAAGAUUAGUGUGAUUCAAUUUUGUAGAUGUUAAGGAAUAACAGUAUUUUUAAGCAAUUGCAUUUCGAAAGAACAAAUGAACGUAGGUCUAAGAAUAAUUUUCGAAUUUCAUUUUUAAAAAUGCUUUAAAAAUAUUUAAAAAAAUUGAACAGCAUGUAAUGACGAAGGAAUUUUUCAUUAGUGUGUCAUGAAUGUUUUUGAACUGUAGUAGUAAUGAAACUUGUGAAAUUCAAUAUUAUAGUGUGUAUGUUGUUGCAUGUAUUUGUGUCUAUACCAAUCCUGAAAUAUGCUCAAUCAUAAUUUACUAAACAACAUGAGUGCAGGGUGUCCAUCACGCAAGGUACCUCAUGUGUUGUGGACAAGGUACAAAGCAAAUCAGUAAACGCGACUACCGCUAAGCACUGUUAAAAUAUAUUGUCAUCUGCUAAGGCUGAGAUUUGCACGAAUUUAUCGUGUAAACAAAAGUCACAAAUCUAACACUAAUCUAGGAACGUGCACGCUAGGCCUAGGUUAUAAAAUGUGUACAAUAAUACGAGAGGCAACGUUUUUUAAAGUCGAGGCUGGCUCUGGAGGGCAAGUACGCAAUAAGUGGGCAAACAUGACUUACCUCAGAUGAGACGGAAAUACAAGUGUAUAGUCAAAAAAAAAUCUGAAGGCAAGUACGACUCGUAAGUGGAAAAUGAAAAGAGAUAAUUAGUGCGAGAGACUGGUAAAAUCCAGCACGAGCGAAAAUCCAGUUCAGACUGAAUGAAGUACAUUAAUGUUUGUGUACUAAUCGAAACAGUUACUGUAAACAGUGUGAAAAAAUGUGAAGGUGAAACUGUGAUACGGACAGUGAAGUGCUAAUAUUGAACGUUCAACAGCGGCGAAGACGCCAAACGCCAAUAUUACGCACGAAAAACUGUGAAUUUGCUUAUAAAUGUGAUCUGUUAACGUGAAGUGAACCCACAGUCAAUAUUUUUGGAACAGACUGUAAUUUCAGUGAGUACAAUAAUGCGAGAUUGGAAUGCGAUGCGUGGACUGUUGCAAAACAGCGACCGCAGAAACGGCGAAUGUUUGUGCUAAGCUCGUAUUGGGACACUCACCAGUGCCUGCGAGUGCGGCGAAAACAGAAAUAAAAUAUCAAGACACAAACUGACGUGUAAUGGAAACAGUAGCGCAUCAAAACUUCAUUCACGGGAGAAGAUCCAUGUGAUGUAUUCUGCAAGACAGUGCUAGCUUGACACUCGGAAACUUAACAACUACCGCACUGAUAAAUGCUUCUUUCCAACUAGCGUAACCAUCUGCAGCGGGAAACAAAUAUGACGUUGGUUGUGUGUAUGUUUCAUGAACUACGUCGGAGAUGCGUAGCAACAAGCGCGGGAGGCAAAUAUCAUCCCAGUCCGCCACGCCCGGCCGAGACAGAAACGCAUCGCCAACCGUGCAGCCGAUCAGCUGAUUCUGACGUUCCGCGACGGCGAGAGACGCGCUGGCGUCGAACGGGCGUUGACCUUUCCGCAGCCACCACGAAGUCCGAGCACCGAGCACAGCAACCGACGCCGUCGCGAGCUAAACGUCGCGGAGUAGAUCAUCGACACCGCAAUCAAUUGUUAUAAUGACCUCAUUUCUUUGCACAGUGAAACAAAACAUUAUUCGUAAUGUAUGCACAUCCUGCACUCCAAUGACAUCCCAGAAACAUUGAAGUGAAAUUAACCAAAGCAGUUAGUCUGUCGCUCCGCCGAGGUUUUCCCCAGGGUUUCCCUACAGCCGCGCCCAAUGGGGAGCGAACAGUUGACACCCCUGGGACUUCAAAUAUUCCGGGAUAACUCGUGAUUGUAUGCCUUGAACACUGCAAAAGUUGCAACCCUAAGAAGAAGCAGCCAAAAUGAAACUAAUUGUAUUCUAUGUCCUUCUCUUUUGUACAUGACUGUAUACGUAACCAACUGUACAUUAUAUUGUUAUGUAAAUAACUUCAUCUUUAUUACACUUUAUGUGCAACAAACCUCAGUAAUUACAACGGUUUAAACAUACGAUGUGACAUAUGUAGACUGUGAAAGACAAUUCUGCGUGUGGACAUUGUGGACAUGAAAGAGGAAAUAUUUAUGUCAAAAAACACGAACAUUUUUUUAUGAGAUAAACAUUUCGGGGGGCAAUAUAGUGUCCCCAGUGCUAUAUUACGAAAAGACUUAAAAAACUGUAUUUGUAAAGAAGACACAUUUAAAAAUUGAAUAAUAUAUUUUUAUCAUGUAGCCGUAAAAUAAUAAUUUCUCUAUGUAAGUUUCGAUUGCAAAGAAAUAAUUUAUGACAAAAUGAUCUAAAGAGGUGACAAGAUACGCUCUUUUGUCAAUUUUUUAGUCGUCUUCACUUCUUCUCUUGUCUUGAUUGUGUAUAGACGGACAUCUUGCGAGUGCUGGCAAAAGUAAGCAUAUUUGUAUGAGUUAAACAGAUAAUAUAUUGAGUUAAUCUUA